GUUUUUUUUCCCACAACUAGCUUUAUUUCACAGCAUCAUGGUUACAAUUACCACGUUUUUGUUCUUUUUUAGUUUUUAUGCGUUCUGGCAGUAACAUCGCAGCGAGCUUGUGUCAACCUCUUGGUCACUAUUAAAUUUUCAAGAAGUAACUCCUCCGCCCUACUAUACCGAUUUUGUGUUGCCUGUUCUGUUGGCUGGUCUGCUGGUUGCUGUUGAGGUGGUGGAUUCUACGGUGUCUGCUCAUGCUGCUCCUCCACAUUGGGGGCAUAAUCUGUGCAAGAUGGUUGGACAACGCCCACUGUUGAUGUUUUUCAUAACUUACGUGGAGGAGUAGUGGACAAAUCUAUACUUCUAGAGGCUGCUACUGGUGGGAGUCGAGUUGCUGGUGAAGAUAGAAUAAAAUCAGCCCAAGCCAAGCUCUCUGUUGCCUGCCAGAUGCGUCUGUCCUACUUGUGCUCCGGACCCCUGUGACAACAGCCUCUGGAAGUAGUGUGUCCCGGACCUGCUUCUCUCAACUGUUAAAACGCACCGUCUUGGAUGUGGAGCACAUUAGUGAUAUUUUCCUCUUCACCAGCGCCCUGCAAUCAUAAUACCUAUAAAUCCAAUAAAAACAUUUCUUUCUAAUUA